GUGUGUUUUGUCAUCUAUACAGCUGAAGACAUCCUGGAAACACAAUCAUCCAAGAAGCUGCGCGACUGCUCACACCUAACACACUAUGUGACACUCACACCUUGUGAUUUGACUGUCCUGAAGCAACAUGUGGAAGAGCCCUCCUCUCCAAGUCUAACAGAUACAUUGUCUGUCUCAACCACCAGCAGUCAGAGCAGUAACACAAGUGAUGCCGGACUUCAAACGGUUCAACCUCUAUUGGACAGCAUACAUGAAAGAAAUGUAGAUACGGUACUUAAUUGACUUAUACUUGACUCUUUAGUUGCCAUUGAGCUAUAGUCAAAAUCUCUACCAUUGGCCAGAUUGAUAUUGUUUCUAUCUAUAGCCCUAUAAGCGUAAAAACUAUAAUCUCUAUCAAAAAAGGAAAGUUUGGAGUCUAACCUUAGAAGUAGAGAGGGUGUCUGGGAUCUUUUGCUUUUACUCUUGAAUGGUUUCAUAAAAUAUUCACUGGAUCUUUCUCUGGGACAGCCAGUCCACUGAAAAAGAUGCUUUCUAUUUAGUUUU